GAGACUGGGGGGGAGGAGCAGAGGGAGAAGAGUCAAGAUUUCAUAGCUGAUUUCAGAGUCCUGCUUGAGCAUCAGUUGUAUUUAAGAAAAUAUAAUUUGCAUGAUCAAGAAAUCUAUCUUAUAUAUGGAAAGCAUGGAUGUUUAUGGGAUAACAGCAGCACUUUGGAUUACUUAAGAAUCAGAAGGCCUAUUUCUCAAGAUAAACGUAUCUUCAGAAAAUAAAACAAAUCAUGUUGAAGACUUUGGUAACAUUAGCUGUGCCAAACUUUUGCCCUUGUGUUCUUUUAAAAGCAAAGAUCUGCCUUCCGGAAGGUUCUGAAAUACAACUGUCAGUGUUUAGAGGAUACUAAAACAUAUUUAGUAUCUGAGCUUCUACUGACUCUGUGCCCUUUCCUCCAGUGAAAUUGUAGGCAGUUGAUAAAGUAUUCCCAGGACGCAGGACACCACUGUUCUCCUUCUAGAUCUUUGACUGGCUGAAUAAUCUUAAACACGCUGCUUAAUUUCUCUGCAUGCAUGUUUUCUUACCUGUAGAUCCUAAAUAAUUCCACUUUCCUCACAAAAUGCUGAGUAGUCUAACAAAAUAAUGUCAGUAAAGCCUAUUUAGUUCUUUAGAGAAAAGUUGUAGAUAAAUACAAGGUGUUCUUUAACGCUGUGGAUUCAUCUCUCAUAAAAGGAAUGAUUAUUAGGUACCUAAAAUUAAGUCACAUUUUAAUGAUGUGGCAUAACCAACAAGCUGCCUUGUGCUUAUUAACCCCCCCCCACUUAUCCACAGAUUUAAAACAUAACAUAUUUAUCCUUCCAUUCCAAAGGCAACACAUGCUUUUCCAUAGAUACAUAAGAAAUUAUAUUCAGUUAAACACACCAUAAUCACUCAUAGAUGACUUCUUACAUUGCAAUACAAUCUGGGAAGAUUCUUGUCCAAGUUUUCCUUUUAAACAGUGAACGUAAAAUAAUCAACAACAGUCCCAUUUAUUACAGCAUUUUUAAUGUAUGUCACUGUGAUUCAUUUUUUCCAUAGCUCAAAAGACCUGAGUGAUUAUCAUAAAUAAGCAUUUUCUUUCUGGGAGGUCUAUUAUUUUGAAUCAUCCUUGAGAAGCUCUUUCAAAUAUAUGUUUGCAGGAGAUGGGAAUGCUCUCACUUCUGAAGUUGUUAGACAGACCAUAAUAGGCAUGUAUUUGCAUUCCCAAACUACCUUAUCCAAGCUAUACGAAACUUCAAACCCUUGGAGGCCUACUAGCACCUGGGAUGUCUUCAGUUGAGGGAAGAGUUCUGUGAGGAUUCUGGUCCUCAGGGCUAUGAGGGAAGCGAUGAACAGCUGGCAGGAACAAAUGGGCACAGCUGGACAUCAGAAGAAGGAAAAGAACUAAAACAAACCUGAGCUUUAGAAGUGAGUCAUGCAAAACAGACAAACAAACAAACAAACAACAACAACAGGGAAUUUGGACAAGAGCAUGGGACAGCCUUUUCCUUUUAGCAUCCAGAAGGGUCACACAGCAAGUCAACUGGAAGCACAGACAAAAUAAAAUAAAACAAAACAAAACAAGACUUCCUGACUGUGGAGGAGAAGGAAAGGAAAAGUAAAGAAGAGAACAGCACAAUAAAUUAAGGUUCAGGAGCCUGAGAAUCUGGGCUUCCAUCCUGCUGUCUCCUAAAAUCAAUCUCUGAUGGGUUAAAAUGAUCAAAACUCCACUUCUUCUUGGGGGAUUCCAGGGAAGAGAUGCCUAGCAGAUUCCAGGUAUAUUCCUCUUUUGGAGCUUGACUCUUCAGAGAAACUCCAUCUUGAGCAUGGAACACAAGCUGUAAAGUAGAAAUGACUAGAAAACAGCAUGCAAGACUGCUGCAAGCUCUGAGCUCAGAGCUGGCACUCUGGUCAGGCUAAGGAGAGAACAGAAUGAGCACAGAGGUGGUCAUGAACAGAGGAGGCCAUUUCAGUCACCCAUGCAAUGAGCUAGGUGCCACAAAACCAAAGACUGGCAAUGAUCGCACCUCUCAUCAGAAAUCAAGGUGGGUGGGUGCUGAUAACUUUGGACCAAUGGUUCUCAAAGGUGAUUGUACAUCAGAAUCACCUGGAGCCCUUGUUAGAACACAGAUUCUUGGGCUCCUCAUCCAGAGUUUCUGAUUUAGUAAGUCUGUGUGGAACCAGGCCCAAAUACUGACAUUUCAAACAAGUUCUCGGGUGGCACUGAUAUUGUUGGUGGAGGACCUCGCUUUGAAUAGUGUUAUUCUAAAUCAAUCUCUUCCCUCUAAACCUAAAAUGGUAUAUCGUCCUUCCCCAACACAUACCUUCAGAUUAUCGAUGGCCCCUGGAAAGACUUGAAAGAGAAGGAGAAGGGGACACAUUGUGAUACUCUGAGAAAUUACUGAAAAGAGUUUCUAACUGGAAGUAUUAAGUAAUCACUGAUUUGAGGGAGUAAGCCUCAAUUUCCACAUAAAAUUCACCACUAUCAGCAGAAAUUGGGGCUAAAUUCAGUUCAGUUGUGGAGGAAUAAAGAAAUUUACUAGCUGUACACCUAAGUUUUGUUCCUAUGAAAACUUGAGCCCAGUCUGUUAGCAUUUAGUACAACUUGGUACUGAGAUAUAAAUACAAAUUUAGGACUCCUGGAGAGGAAACAUUCAGAAAGGAUGCUUUGGUCUUUUGUUACAAUGAACCUUUGUUACACACCAUUUCACUUUUUCACUUGCAUUACACUUACAUUAUAAGACGUUUCCACAAGCCUAGUAGCACCAUUCUGCUCCUCAUACCCUGGGCCUCCUCAGAGAACAGAGAAAAUAGGAGCUAUGUCUGAGUGGACAGCCCUUCUGAGAGCUAUGAGGAGACAGAACAUCUGUGUGCCUGGGAACACUGCUCCCACAGACAUAGUUCUCCAUCUGGGCCCCCCGCACGAACGGACUUAGUGUCCCAUUCAUGACUUGCUCCGGGUCCUCACACACCCAUGGCAAAUAACAACGUUCAGUCUCCUGUGGAGUGGGAUCCUCUCCUCUCAAGGGUCCAGCCUAAAAUGGAAGAGCCCGUCAGAUGGCAUUUAUACUUUGGCAGCUGGUAGGGCUUCUCUCUUCAGUUGCACACUGGUCUAACCUGAAAUUGGACUGUGCACCUUUGUUUUUGCAUUUUCCUUUGCAGACAAAAGCUAGGUCAGUAAUUUAUAACUCUCACCAAGCUGAAUGCACAUUUAUGAGGUUUAACAGAAAUGAAUCUAUUACAUGCUGCCUGAUAUCCCUGUGUCCUUCAGCCUCUGGAAGUCAAUCUUUCCUUCGAUACUCUCAUAUACAAUGAUGUGAGCCUCCAUCCCAAGUAACUGAUGGAGAAUCAAUGUAACUCUUGCCCAGUAUUUCUAAGGAUUCUUCAAAGCAUACAGGGUACAUAUGCUUAUAUGCAUGAUGCUGUCUACACCACCUACUCUGAACUCUGACUCUUGUUUGUUUGUUUGUUUUAAUCUACAGUUGCUUUAUCUGUAUACCUAGCAAUCUUCACUCCUCAUACUUAAUCCCAGGCAUAGGCAAAACAUCAUGUAGACAUUUCUAAAAUCUCCUUUAAUCCAUCCAUUUAUUUUAUUUUUUUUUUAAACUGAGUAGCUACUAUGUCCCAGGUGAUGUUCUAGUCCUUGGAUACAGCACUAAAAAAACCCAGAUAGGUGUACUGUUGUACAUUUCUAUGUGAUAUGGAGAUUUUUCCCAAAUGUGGGAAGCUAAUGAAUGAUGGUGGGAACAGGGAGCAGUAACAACUAACUCCUGCAUACCAAUAUCAGAGAUCACGAUUUCUGAUCCACAGGGACUCCCUUCACGGAAUCCAGUUUUCCUUUGGGGACAGCCUUGUGCUUUCCUUGUGUUGGACUCAUGCUCUCACUCUCUACAGAUGUCUCUGUCUCUGUCUGUCAUCUCUUUUCUUCAAGUUCAGGAGCUUCUCUAAAACUCUUCUGUCUUGAGCUACCAAAAGAAAAAGGAAACAUUGAUUUUUAGAAGUCAGAACAAAUCAUUUAGCUUACUAUGUCUCAUUUUAGUAUCCUUUCAUAACCAAAAGUCCCAGGACAGUAUUUGCUCAAACAAACAAACAAACAAACUAACUAACUAAAAAAAAAGUCUUUUGGACAGGAUUCAUAAGAAGUUAAAUGAAGUUUACAUAGACCAUUUGUCCAUCCCAGAAAACGCAAUCCACCACUAUCAAGGUAGUAGAUUGACAAAAUGUCUAAAAUGAUCAAGUCUUGGGGAUUCAAUUAUGACAGAAGGGCUGAUGGCUGACCUAUUCCUGAGAUGAAGUGAAGAUAAACUGCUGUCCUACUAAGAAAAACCAAAUCUCUUUGCUAUCCUUUUUUCCUUAAUAGUAACUGAUAAAGCAUUUGCCUGAUCAAUAGCUAGAUAGCAGAUCUCAGUGAUGUGUUCAUUUAUUCCAAAAAAGAGAUCACAAAAAACAGCUGCAAUUGAUGUUACUCCCUGAAUAUGUUUAUAAUAAUACACUAUCUUUCUCUAGGGCCAUCUAGUGAAGCCCUGGUCAAAUAGACCAGUUACAUGUAGAUGUGACAGGAAUCCUAUGCCUGCCUACUUCUAGACUUGGUUGGGUGGCAUGAAUCUGUGCCAUCCUUCAAUUUACUUUACAGUUUGGAAGGGAAGAGAUAGUUUCAGGGACUGAUAAUAAUCCCGUAAGUCAAAGAACUAAUGUGGGUCUUCUGGCAUUGGCAAUUGCCUGCUAUGCUUUCAAAAAAUGAAGAAAUUAUCUCAUUUUAUAUAACAUAUAGUUACUAUGCUUGGUAACAAUGGACCCCUUCGAGGAAUUUCUAGGAGGGUUCAGGGUUUAUGAUUUUGAUACAGACAUGGGCUACUCUUCAUCCCCAAGGGUUCUGCAUAUGGAAAUUGGGUGACAGUCCCCAAGUCUUUAUUGUGCCCCAAAUCUGAAAAUGAUACCUAAAAUAUUUUAAAUUGUAAAAAUCAAGUAGGUAGCAGGGAGUAGUUCUGUUUCAGUCCAGUGAACACUAUGAUCUAUUUGCCUCCACCAAUGAUUUCUAGAGCUUAAGUCAUUCUGAUUACUGUUUUAACCUGUUGCCCACUUGGGGAAUCAUGCACACUUGUGUCUGGUCUUCUAGCUAAGAACAAGCACUUGUCCUCUGUCAUUUUCCAGGAUCCUCUUAUCCUCCACUGAAUUUAGGAAGAUUAUUUCAGUUAAGUUACUUCUUACAAUCAUGUUUGGCCUUACAGGGUGUUUCUUUGUGCUUUGGCAAAGGAAUGUCCUUGGAGCCCAUCCAGGUAACAUGAUGAUGAGAUGAGUGACAGGUCACACUAGAUAAAUCAGCACUAGCAUUUCUAUUUCUAUCUUUCUUUGUGUACCUUUAUCUAUAUCAUACCCUGGAAACUCUUGCAUUUCAAUUUCAUUUAGCCUUGGCCAUCAUGAAGCCCAAAUUUCAGUCUACUGACCAAGUAAUCUGGUGAACCACAAUUGUGCACUCAAAUAUCAAACAUCUUUAAUUCACUAUUUCUAGGAAAGUACGAUCAUGUGGUUAAAUUAGCUUAUUCUAACAACUUGUUUCUGUCUGUCUGUACUAGGACCCUCAGAAUCCAUUCAUAACACUCUUUCCCAGAUUUCCAUUCAUAUAAACCAGAAAAUCUUCCAGUUCUUUUGAUGGAUAUGCUAUCUUCUCUGAAGUCACACUCUGUACCCAUUUGUCUGUGAUUUGAGUGUAGUUAUAGGUCUGGAAGCUGUGCAAGCUGAUGAGGCAUAUCUCGUGGUGGAUCAGCAUCUCCAAGCAAGGUAAUUGCCUCAAGUAUAACCCUUAUGGUUUCUUCAGCCGGGAGAGACUCCUUCUACUUUCAAGAAGGUUCAGUGGAAUUUGAAGGUUCAAACCUGUAAGAAUCCAUCUCAAAUCCCCUUUCCCAGUAAGUGUCCUAACUCUCAUAUAUGAUACCAAGUAAGGCUGUAAAUUCAAUGUGCUUUAUAAUUCUGAAAUAUGCAUCUUAAGACUUUGAGUUCAGUUUUCAAAUACUUCUGCCAUAUAAUUGACUGUAAGAAUAGGAGAAAUUUUUGGAAGCUCUUUUGUUUUCUGAAUAUGCCAUGGCCUGAGCUUUUAAAUUUCUCUUUGUAAAGAGAAGUAGUGCAUCAGAAGCUGUUAGGCUACCCCACAGUCCCUGUGGUCAUCAUUUAUAACCCAUUGUUUUAUUAUAGCAGCUUCUUUGUAUCCCAAUUCCUUGUCUUUAAGAGCCACCUCAUUUUAGACAACUAUAGUGAGAAGUUAAUGAUUAUGUUAAAAUCUUUGAACGUUAUGGACCAUGACAUUGAGGUUAUUUUAUCUUCAAACUCAGCUAGGCACAAGCUAUUCCACAUCUUCUUCAUCUUUAGAGUCUAUUUUUUUAAGACACUUUCAGGAUCAAAUAUUUUCUCAGAAACUUCUACCUGGACAAGAGCAACUUCUUGAACUAUUUUAGACAAGGAAGGAUGUAGUACGGAGCAUUAGAAGCUUUCUUAAUUGCUAGAAUGCCUGGAGAAGCAAAGAUCAUGGAAGAUCUCUGUUAACUCUCAGCUUCACCCCUACCUUAAAGAGAGGCAGGGAAUUUGAAAAGGCAUGAAAGAUUACUAGAAAUUAUACAAGUUUUCUAUAAUGCCAAAGGAGGUGUUUCUCUAGAAAACACCUGGAGGUCACUGAAAAAACUCAAAUCCAUAAGAGACCAUGUUUCUGCCCACCCUGAUGUAGGAGCAAUUAUAUGAAUUCUGCUCUCUCUCCUGCACCUUUCACGUCUUGCAUGAAUGCCUCCCAUUGGCAAAAUACAACCUGGAAUCCAAAUGGUAAGAGAUUCUGAGAAAUGCAAUGGUCAGGCUUUCAGUCACUGAGAAUGGGGGAAUGGUCUGGGGAAACCAUGCUGGGUUGCAUAAAGAGCAGAGACAGCAUAAUCAGCCUUUCUAACAUAGUCUAUGAAUCUAAUUUUUUAGAUGACUUUGUAUAAGAAGGAACAAAGGAAGAUAUUUAUGUAUUUCCAUCUUUACCUAUAUGCCACACAGUCGAAGUUUAUUUAAAUGUUCACGGUUCAACUAACACAGGACAAGAGGCAUCAGUGACUACAUGCAUCCAUUCUAGGUUCAUUUUUGCUAAUGUUAUUUUGUGAUUAGAAAGGAAAAUGGAAAGAAUCACAUCUUGGUUGGUUACAGUGACAUAAAAAUAAAAUUAAUGUAUAGCAGACAAUAACAAAAAGCAAGAGCAAUGAAAUACAACUAAAAUCUUUGCAAAGUUUAGUUAUAGCCUUUAAAAAUGAAAAACCACAUAGUAGAAUAAAUAAGGAAUUAAAUAUUUGAAUGAAAACAGACUAAGACUUUAGCAUCCAAAUCAAAACAUUUCUGUUGUUUAUAAUCAGUGAAAUAGAGUAUAUGUUGGCUGACUAUAACAUGAAAGUGAAUCAGUCAAAGUCUUCCAUGGCUCCAUAGUCCCUUCUUCCAUCCUUAGGAGACAUAAAAGUGAAAUAUUGUAUUAGUAACAAAAUUAAAUCACUUAAUGAGAGUUCUCACAAUUACCAGAAUUUGUAAUAUGGAUGGUUGUUUUGAUAGUUUAUAACCUUCAAGUCUGUAUGAUAUCAUCUAACAUACUGCCUGGAACAAGUAAACACCAAAUAAAUAUUUGCUGAAUUAAUGAAAAAGAAUGUGGAUGGUACAUUUUAAAGAUUAUACCAAAAAAUGGUAAAUAGGCUUACUAAUUUUUGUUUUUUAAGAUUUUUAUUUAUUUGACAGAGAGAAAGAGAGAGCACAAGUAGGCGGAGCAGCAG